UACGUAGGGUGCAAGCGUUGUCCGGAAUUAUUGGGCGUAAAGAGCUCGUAGGCGGUCUGUCGCGUCUGCUGUGAAAACUCAGGGCUUAACCCUGAGCUUGCAGUGGGUACGGGCAGACUAGAGUGCGGUAGGGGAGACUGGAAUUCCUGGUGUAGCGGUGAAAUGCGCAGAUAUCAGGAGGAACACCGGUGGCGAAGGCGGGUCUCUGGGCCGUAACUGACGCUGAGGAGCGAAAGCCAGGGGAGCAAACGGG
rnacentral:rRNA from 1 species